rnacentral:rRNA from 1 species
GACGAACGCUGGCGGCGUGCUUAACACAUGCAAGUCGAACGGUAAGGCCCUUCCGGGUACACGAGUGGCGAACGGGUGAGUAACACGUGGGCGAUCUGCCCUCCACUUCGGGAUAAGCCUGAGAAACGGGGUCCAAUACCGCACAGGACCACUGCCUGCAUGGGUGGGCGUCGACAGCUUUUGCGGUGUGGGAUGGGCCCGCGGCCUAUCAGCUUGGUGGUGGGGUGAUGGCCUACCAAGGCGACGACGGGUAGCCGGCCUGAGAGGGUGACCGGCCACACUGGGACUGAGAUACGGCCCAGACUCCUACGGGAGGCAGCAGUGGGGAAUAUUGCACAAUGGGCGCAAGCCUGAUGCAGCGACGCCGCGUGAGGGAUGACGGCCUUCGGGUUGUAAACCUCUUUUAGCACCGACGAAGCGCAAGUGACGGUAGGUGCAGAAGAAGGACCGGCCAACUACGUGCCAGCCGCCGCCGUAA